CUACGGGACGCACCAGUGGGGAAUAUUGCACAAUGGACGAAAGUCUGAUGCAGCAACGCCGCGUGGAGGAUGACACAUUUCGGUGCGUAAACUCCUUUUAUAUAAGAAGAUAAUGACGGUAUUAUAUGAAUAAGCACCGGCUAACUCCGUGCCAGCAGCCGCGGUAAUACGGAGGGUGCAAGCGUUACUCGGAAUCACUGGGCGUAAAGAGCGUGUAGGCGGAUAGAUAAGUUGGAAGUGAAAUCCUAUGGCUCAACCAUAGAACUGCUUCCAAAACUGUCUAUCUAGAAUAUGGGAGAGGUAGAUGGAAUUUCUAGUGUAGGGGUAAAAUCCGUAGAGAUCAGAAGGAAUACCGAUUGCGAAGGCGAUCUACUGGAACAUUAUUGACGCUGAGACGCGAAAGCGUGGGGAGCAAACAGGAUUAGAUACCCCCGUAGUC
rnacentral:rRNA from 1 species